AUUGAACGCUGGCGGCAGGCCUAACACAUGCAAGUCGAACGAGUGGCGGACGGGUGAGUAAUGUCUGGGAAACUGCCCGAUGGAGGGGGAUAACUACUGGAAACGGUAGCUAAUACCGCAUACCAUCGGAUGUGCCCAGAUGGGAUUAGCUAGUAGGUGGGGUAACGGCUCACCUAGGCGACGAUCCCUAGCUGGUCUGAGAGGAUGACCAGCCACGCGGGAACUGAGACGCGGUCCAGACGCCUACUGGAGGCAGCAGUGGGGAAUAGUGCACAAUGGGCGCAAGCCUGAUGCGGCCAUGCCGCGUGUAUGAAGGAGGCCUGCGGGUUGUAAAGUACUUUCAGCGGGGAGGCGUUACCCGCAGAGGAAGCACCGGCGAACUCCGUGCCAGCAGCCGCGGUAAUU
rnacentral:rRNA from 1 species